AGCGAACGCUGGCGGCAGGCCUAACACAUGCAAGUCGAACGACCUCUCCGGAGUUAGUUGCGGUCGGGUGAGUAACACGUGGGAACGUGCCUUUUUGCUCGGAAUAACUCAGGGAAACUUGUGCUAAUACCGAAUGAGCCCUUCUGGGGACAUAUUGAUCGCGCUUAGAACCGCCCGCGUGUGACUAGCAAGGGGGUGAGGGAACGGCGCACGACGGCGACGAUAAGUAGCUGGUCUGAGAGGAUCAGCCGCGACGCUGCGUCGAAGACACGGCCCAGACUACUACGCGAGGCAGCAAUGGGGAAUCUUGCGCAAUGGGCGAAAGCCUGACGCAGCCAGGCCGGGUAAAUGAUGAAGUUGUGAGGAUUAUAAAACUCUUUCACCGGGGGCGAUAAUGACGGUACCCAGAGAAGAAGCACCGGCUAACUUCGUG
rnacentral:rRNA from 1 species